UCUUCGAUGGUCUAGUGGUCAUGAUUUCCGCUUGUCAAGCCUUUGGUUAACAAGCGCGGGAGAGUAAGUUGACCACUCGCACCACACAAGCGAAGAUGCUAAUACAUCACAGCCGGGGUUCGAUUCCCCGUCGGAGAG